GAUGAACGCUGGCGGCGUGCCUAAUACAUGCAAGUCAAGCGAACAGACGAGGAGCUUGCUCCUCUGACGUUAGCGGCGGACGGGUGAGUAACACGUGGAUAACCUACCUAUAAGACUGGGAUAACUUCGGGAAACCGGAGCUAAUACCGGAUAAUAUAUUGAACCGCAUGGUUCAAUAGUGAAAGACGGUUUUGCUGUCACUUAUAGAUGGAUCCGCGCCGCAUCAGCUAGUUGGUAAGGUAACGGCUUACCAAGGCAACGAUGCGUAGCCGACCUGAGAGGGUGAUCGGCCACACUGGAACUGAGACACGGUCCAGACUCCUACGGGAGGCAGCAGUAGGGAAUCUUCCGCAAUGGGCGAAAGCCUGACGGAGCAACACCGCGUGAGUGAUGAAGGUCUUCGGAUCGUAAAACUCUGUUAUUAGGGAAGAACAAAUGUGUAAGUAACUAUGCACGUCUUGACGGUACCUAAUCAGAAAGCCACGGCUAACUACGUG
rnacentral:rRNA from 1 species